rnacentral:sRNA from 1 species
UUGACACAAAGACACAAAAAAUUCUCUUUUCAUACAUAUUUAAUAUCAAAAAGAAUUUAUCGUUUUUUACGGAUAUGUAUUA